UCAGGUAUGUUCUCCAUCUCUGUGCAGAAGUUUGCACCCCGUGUCUUAUUUCAUCAGACAACCUCACAAUACUCCCCUGGACAGUAACUUGGAAUCAUAGAAUCCAAUGGCACUGGCUAAAGCAGAAUGAAUUCCCUGUCCAUAUUUCUGCUAAUAUUUUUUAGCUCACUUUGUCCCUGAUUUGUGCUUAAAUACUGAGACCAGAAAAAUGUUCACGGGGAGAUAAAUAGGAGGGAGAAAAAUGCAAGCAGUAGCUCAGCUGACACAGAAAAACUUCACCAAGGGAAUUGAAUGCCCAUGGAGCACCAAGGGAAGGGAAUGGAAUGCCCAUGGAACACCAGUGCAGAGUGACCAGUGUGAUUUCCAUAUGGCAUAGCUUGGAAGAUUAUCUGUUCCAGAGCUGAAAUGUUCAAACUCUAGAACUGCAGUCCCAAAACACUUGGGAAAAGAAUCCUCUGCCAAAACACACAAACUUCAAAUUGUCUUUUGCAUCAGGGAAGGAAGAAGAAUGGCCCAAGUGCUUUACCCACAGGAUCAAAGAAUUUCACAUUCCUGCCAAGCUCAGCAGGUUCCAAAAUGCUCCACAGAAGCCCUGGCUGGUUACCAGAGAGGGUGCUGCUGCAGUGGCCAGCACAGGACUGGCUCCUUUCAGAACAGCUGGAGUGAUUCGUACCCAAAGUCUCUCCACCAACACUUCUGAUAUCAAGAACAGGUCAGGAGGUCCCUCUCUUCUGAACAAGCAAGAAACACUUGGUAAUAUUUACUAAGAAUUAAAAUCAAAGCUCCUGAAAGAAAGCCAAGGGAAAAUUAUUAAAAAUAGCAAGCUGGAAAAGCAAAGACCUGUUGUUUACAUCACACAUAUGGCUCAGUGCUGCACGACACAAAGGAAUGCUACAGAAAAAGCACAGAAGGAAUG